UCAAAGGUCGUAUAAAGUAAUUAAUGAUAGAAUGAGUUAACAACCAAAUGACAACAAAAUGUAAACCACUCCUGGCUAUUGAAACAAUGGGUUAAACAACUUUUUGCUAAACUGGGUGUUAUUCAAAUGUCACUUUUGUAUGAUCAAGUUUCCUUCAGUCAGCAGAUGGAAAAGAACUAAAAUAAUUUUAUUACAUAUUGUUUGUCAUAAUCUGUAAAAUCAACUUUGCUCCUUUCUCUAAAUUUUAAUAAGAAUAGAUAACAAAAGGCCCAGGGGCCACAUCGCUCGCCUGAGCAGCAAUAUCCUUAACUCUGAUCAAAUUCUUUUGUACUUGCACUUAACAAGAGCAAUAAACACCAAAAACAAAAUACAAUAUUUAUUUUUUGCAUUUGCGUUCUUGCAUUACAGAAAGUCACUCCCACAAAUCUGCAAUAUUCAACAUCAACAUUCUGCAAUAUUCAACAUCAACCACAUUUGAAAACUUCUGAAGUUUUCAUUUGACAAGCAGCUUGUCAUAUAUGCUCAAGAGCACAUUACCAUAAUACCGGUAUACUCAAUAAGAACCUUAUCAAGUACUAAUUACCACAACCAUACACUUUAAACUUUCCCGUGCAAAGUUUGAACGCCAGAAUGAAUACAUAUCGAACACGACUUACCUACAAAACCUUAAGCCCCGCCCUUUACUCUUAUUGGCGUUUCCACAAAAGAAAAUAAUUUUAUUCUAAUUCACCGAGUUCAACCGAAAUAAAUUAUAUUUAGCUUUACAGUAUCAAAAUCAAAACGCACUUUGUGGCCCCACUUUUCUGGCCUAAUAGUUUUUGAGAAGAAGAUUUUAAAAGAUUUUCUCCCCUUUUUUCUGUAGAACAAACUUGAAUCUACACACUUGUGGAUGCCUCCACACAAGUUUAUGCUUUUUUGAGCCAAAUAGUUUUUGAAAAGAAGAUUUUUAAAGAUUUUCUUAAUAUAUUCUAAUGUAAUAGUUUUUGAGAAGAAGAUUUUUAAAGAUUUUCUCUAUAUAUUCCUAUGUAAAAAUUCAUCCCCCCAUUGUGGUCCCACCGAACAUCCCGGGGACAAUAAUUUUAUCAAACUUGAAUCUUCAUUAUCUUAGGAUGCUUCCACUCCAAUUUGAGCUUUUCUAACCUAAUAGUUUUUGAGAAGAAGAUUUUUAAAGAUUUUCUCUAUAUAUUCCUAUGUAAAAAUUCAUCCCCCCAUUGUGGCCCCACCCUACCCCCAAGGACCAUGAUUUGAACAAACUUGAAUCUACACGACCUGAGGAUGCUGUCACACAAGUUACAGUUUUUAAGGCCAAAUAGUUUUUGAGAAGAUUUUUGAAAAAUACCAACAUUUUUUCAAUAACUCUAAAUUAUCUUCCCUUGAAAGAGGGUGUGACCCUUCAUUUGAACAAACAUGAAUCCCCUUCACCUAUUGAUGCUUUGUGCCAGGUUUGGUUGAAUUCUGCCCAGUGGUUCUUGAGAAGAAGAUGAAAAUGUAAAAAGUUUACAACAAUGCCAACGACAGUGACAAAGCCAACAGACAACGGACAAAUUUUGAUCAGAAAAGCAUACUUGAGCUUUCAUCUCAGGUUGGAUUAUGUUGUAUGCAUGAAAAAAGAAGAUAACUAUGCAGGAAGAAAUUGUAUCCAAUCAUUCUGCAUUGCAGGAAUAUGUUCAAAUAAAAUCUAUGAAUAAUAUUUAUUUACUGGUUCAUGUUUAUGCAUAUUGUCUUCUGUCCAUCUAAGGAUGUAAUAAAAGUAAUAGGAAAGUCAA